rnacentral:rRNA from 1 species
UACAUAGGUGGCGAGCGUUAUCCGGAUUUAUUGGGCGUAAAGAGUGCACAGGUGGUUUAUCAAGUCAGUUGUUAAAGCCCGGGGCUCAACCCCGGUUCGCAAUUGAAACUGAUAGACUAGAUUAUUGGUGGGGAUAGUAGAAUUCCAUGUGUAGCGGUGGAAUGCAUAAAUAUAUGGAGGAAUACCAGUGGCGAAGGCGGCUAUCUGAACAAUUAAUGACACUUAAGCACGAAAGCGUGGGGAGCAAAUAGG